GAUGAGGUCUGGCAUCUCUCUUUCAGGGAUUUGGAGAUGGAACCUGGACAACUUAGGUAUGCUUAAAGAGCUGGAUAGAACUGGGAUAAGUAGACUUUGAUGCCAGAAUUGAAGCAAUAGUCAAACGCUACUGAAGCAAUGGGUGAUAAAUCUUUGUACAUGUUAAAAUAUUUGAUCACGGUGGCGAAACACGUCUGAGUGCAGCAGGGAAAGAGGCUAUAACCAGCCCUUGGGAUGUGUUGCGUAUUCCCACACCUAAUUAGAGCACAUUAAGCCUCCUCCCAAGACCCUACUGCAGAGCCCCAGCACCACCCUCCUCCUGCACCUUCUCCACGUUAUUUCCAGGUACCGUGCCGUUAUUCAGGCUAUAUAGCAUGGGGACAUGCACUAAAAUCUGUGGUCCCUGGAGAAAAAAGGUGCAACACUCCCGUGCCCCUGACAGUAACCAGCUGUUCUCCAGAUCCCAGCACUUUGAUCAUUUUGCAUGCAAAGGAUAAUUAUUUUUGUGGUUGAAACAAGGGAUGGAUUGCGGAUCGAUGGAGUUGGCUGUAUGUUCCUGUGUGUAAUCCCUGCCGCACCCCGUCAGAGCAUUUUCUUACGGAAGGAGCUUGAAGAAUGAUUUGUGGCUUGGAUUUCUGAUCCCUGGAUUACUACAGCCAGUGAUGGAAAGAAAAAAAGAAAUAAGAGUUAAAAAAAGUUAUAAUGCAUCCUGCAUGAGAGUCACUGAAGGCUGGGCCUCUUCUGGAGACCGUUUACUUAAAAUUUUAUUUAAAAUGUUUCCUGCUGGGUAUGUAAAGCACAACCUGAAAGCGCGGCUGUUCUCCAUCUCCAUAUUUCCACUUAUAACUGAACAACACAAGCCCACCUCUGAUUAAGUGAUCCACAGAAGAAAAAAAAAAUGCAAUCUGCCUCUCAAAUGUUAAUUAAUAGUUCCGUGAUUCAUUAAUGAAAAGGGCCGAGACAAGAAGAAGUAGGCAAGCAGGAAAGAGCCUGCAUAAAUUCGUGGGCAGCCCUGAUGGAAGUCUGCACUGAGACCGAGCAGCGUUUGCAGGAAAAUGGGGUAAGAAAGGUCUGCAGCAGGCCCCGGAGGAGGCGGAGGCAUUGCCUUGUGUUACAUGACGGCGUGCUUUUAUUAGUUUGAUGAUGUGCGGUGAGACUAUUUCUCUUGGAAAUCGGUCUUUGGUUAACAUUUCAUUUUCCUUCCCAAAGUCAGCUCUGGCUGGCAGCGAUAUGAAGCACAGCUCCCUGCAAUUGGCUGGCCCCAAACUUUAUUAAUACCACUUGUUGCUGCCAUAAAUGAUCUGUUUCAGGACAAGUAAUAAAGC